UCAAGCACUUUUAUCUUCUCAGCCAGCAGCUGAAUUUCCUUGUUCUGAGGAGGAAUGUCAUAAGGCACAAAAGGCUCAUUUCGCAUAGAGAACUGGUCAGCCUCUCUAUCUUCCUCCUGAUCUUCGUCAAAACCAUAAAACGGAGGCACAAAGUUGUCUUUCGUAUUCUGCCCCGGUUGGCCACCAACACCACCAGCAUUAUUCACCAGACCAACUGUUGU
rnacentral:lncRNA from 1 species